CCCAGUUGUCCAACCCAACAUCCUUCCUUGUGGUAUUUAGUACAACUCAGCAAAGAGAAGGUCCUGUCAAGCUUGGCAAGAGCUGUGUCCAUGCGAUUUCAGGGUCAGAGCCGGACUGCAGCUGGCGUGGUGAAUGAUAAAAUUAAAAGUAGACAUCACCAUCUAAAUUCAUCAGCAGAAUGCACCGGAACACCAGGAAGGGGAUACGGGAGGAAGUCUCAGGGGGGAGUAAGCUGUCCUGCAAUGUAGGGAGGCAGUGCACUCUCUGUGGAAAAGGAUCUUGGUUUCCUGUUCAUGAGUGGGGCUAAGAGAAGUCACUCUAGCCUUCAACUGCAUCUGGUAAGUUGCCCAGUGGGCUGUCCUGUUGGUUCAGUGGUAAAGAACCCACCU
rnacentral:lncRNA from 1 species